AUGCCUACACGUACGUCUUCAAUGGCGCCGUCGACGGAGACGAACGAGUUCAACGUUGCUACGUCAGCGCUCCCGACACACUUCGUUCUCGUCCCCCUCGUGGCGCAGGGCCACACCAUCCCGAUGGUGGACCUUGCACGCCUCCUCGCAGGACGCGGUGCGCGCGUGAGCGUGGUGACCACGCCCUGGAACGCCGCGCGCCUCCAGGGCGUCGCCGACUCUGCGCGGCGCGCCAAGCUGCCCCUAGACAUAGUCGAGCUCCCGUUCGCGCCGGCCGACGACGGACUGCCCCCCGGCUGUGGCGACGACAUCGACACCUUAGCCCCCAUGUUCCAGGCCCUCCACAGGCUCGCCGGCCCCUUGGAGGCCUACCUGCGCGCGCUGGGGCGGCGGCCCGGCUGCAUCAUCUACGACAGGGCUAACGCAUGGACUGCCGGCGUGGCCAGGAGCGUUGGGGUGCCGCUGCUCUUCUUCCACGGCCCUUCCUGCUUCUACUCGCUCUGCGACCUCAACGUCGCCACGCACGGACUUGUUGAGGAGCGCGAGACGUGCGUCAUGCCAGGCAUGCCGGUGCGCCUGGAGAUGACCAGGGCUACCUGCUCCUCCGCUUUCUUGAAGACUCCUGCGUGGGAGGCGUUCCAGAAGAACGCCAUGGAGGCCAUGCGCAUGGCCGACGGCGCCGUCGCCAACACGUUCCUGGACCUCGAGGGACAGUUCGUGUCGUGCUACGAGGCGGCGCUGGGGAUGCCGGUGUGGGCGCUCGGGCCGUUCUGCCUCAGCAACCGCGACGAGACGGCCCUGGCGUGCCGCGGGGACAAGGACAGACCCACCGCCGUCAACCAGAGCGCGGUCACCGAAUGGCUCGACGCCAUGUGCACCGGCUCCGUUGUUUUUGCCAGCUUCGGCAGCCUCGUGCGGGUGCUUCACGAGCAGCUGUACGAGGUCGGGCAUGGCCUCGAGGACUCGGGCAGGCCGUUCCUUUGGGUCGUGAAGGAGUCCGAGGUGGCGGCCUCGCCGGAGGUGCUGGAGUGGCUGCAAGCCCUGGAGGCACGCACCGCGGGUCAUGGCCUCGUGGUGCGCGGCUGGGCGCCGCAGCUCGCCAUCCUGUCGCACCGCGCCGUGGGGGCCUUCGUGACACACUGCGGCUGGAACUCGCUGCUGGAGUCGAUCGCACACGGCGUGCCGGUCGUGACGUGGCCGCACUUGGCAGACCAGUUCCUGAACGAGCGUCUGGCCGUGGACGUGCUCGGGGUGGGCGUGCCCGUCGGCGCAGCUGUGCCUGACGGCGAGGCCGUAAUGGUGGCGCGCGGAGACAUCGCGCGGGCGGUGUCGGAGCUCAUGGGCAGUGGCGACGUGGCCGAGGAGAGGAGGAGGAAGGCCAAGGAGUACGGCGAGAGAGCUCGCACGGCCAUGGCCAUAGGAGGUUCAUCGUACCAAAACCUGGCGCGGCUGAUACAGAGAUUCACGCCCAAUGAUGCCAAGGAACAGUAG
rnacentral:rRNA from 1 species